GGGCCCGCACAAGCGGUGGAGCAUGUGGUUUAAUUCGAUGAUACGCGAGGAACCUUACCAGGGCUUAAAUGUAGAGUGACAGGUCUAGAGAUAGAUUUUUCUUCGGACACUUUACAAGGUGCUGCAUGGUUGUCGUCAGCUCGUGCCGUGAGGUGUCAGGUUAAGUCCUAUAACGAGCGCAACCCUUGUCGUUAGUUGCCAGCAAGUAAAGUUGGGGACUCUAGCGAGACUGCCGGUGCAAACCGAGAGGAAGGUGGGGAUGACGUCAAAUCAUCACGGCCCUUACGUCCUGGGCUACACACGUGCUACAAUGGUAUGGACAAUGAGCAGCCACUACGCGAGUAGGAGCGAA
rnacentral:rRNA from 1 species